rnacentral:rRNA from 1 species
ACAGGGAUUGCCCUAGUAACGGCGAGUGAAGCGGCAACAGCUCAAAUUUGAAAUCUGGCGUCUUUGGCGUCCGAGUUGUAAUUUGCAGAGGGCGCUUUGGCAUUGGCAGCGGUCCAAGUUCCUUGGAACAGGACGUCACAGAGGGUGAGAAUCCCGUACGUGGUCGCUAGCCUUUACCGUGUAAAGCCCCUUCGACGAGUCGAGUUGUUUGGGAAUGCAGCUCUAAAUGGGAGGUAAAUUUCUUCUAAAGCUAAAUACUGGCCAGAGACCGAUAGCGCACAAGUAGAGUGAUCGAAAGAUGAAAAGCACUUUGGAAAGAGAGUUAAAAAGCACGUGAAAUUGUUGAAAGGGAAGCGCUUGCAGCCAGACUUGCCUGUAGUUGCUCAUCCGGGUUUUUACCCGGUGCACUCUUCUAUAGGCAGGCCAGCAUCAGUUUGGGCGGUUGGAUAAAGGUCUCUGUCAUGUACCUCCUUUCGGGGAGAUCUUAUAGGGGAGACGACAUGCAACCAGCCUGGACUGAGGUCCGCGCAUCUGCUAGGAUGCUGGCGUAAUGGCUGUAAGCGGCCCGUCUUGAAACACGGACCAAGGAGUCUAACAUCUAUGCGAGUGUUUGGGUGUCAAGCCCGAACGCGUAAUGAAAGUGAACGGAGGUGGGAACCUUUCGGGGUGCACCAUCGACCGAUCCUGAUGUCUUCGGAUGGAUUUGAGUAAGAGCAUAGCUGUUGGGACCCGAAAGAUGGUGAACUAUGCUUGAAUAGGGUGAAGCCAGAGGAAACUCUGGUGGAGGCUCGCAGCGGUUCUGACGUGCAAAUCGAUCGUCAAAUUUGGGCAUAGGGGCGAAAGACUAAUCGAAC